AGAGUUUGAUCAUGGCUCAGGAUGAACGCUGGCGGCGUGCCUAAUACAUGCAAGUCGAGCGCCCCCUUGCGGGGAGCGGCGGACGGCUGAGUAACACGUAGGAACGUACCCCAAACUGAGGGAUAAGCACCAGAAAUGGUGUCUAAUACCGCAUGUGCUCUUCGGAGUAAAGCUACGGCGGUUUGGGAACGGCCUGCGCAUGAUUAGCUUGUUGGUGAGGUAAUGGCUCACCAAGGCGACGAUCAUUAGCUGGUCUGAGAGGAUGAUCAGCCAGACUGGGACUGAGAACGGCCCAGACUCCUACGGGAGGCAGCAGUAGGGAAUUUUCCACAAUGGGCGAAAGCCUGAUGGAGCAACGCCGCGUGCAGGAUGAAGGCCUUCGGGUUGUAAACUGCUUUUAUCUGUGACGACUUCGACGGUAGCAGAUGAAUAAGGAUCGGCUAACUACGUGCCAGCCGCCGCGGUAAUUC
rnacentral:rRNA from 1 species